AAAUAAUUAAACAUUUAGUUUUUGUUUAAUUUUUAAAAUAAACUAUAUAGUUUAGAAUUUGUUUUCAUUGGUUUAAGGUAGUAAAGAUUAAUCAUUGUUAGAUAAUAUGAUUUUUGCUAUUUAAAAAAAAUCUUUAUAACUUUAAAAGUUAACAUCAACAAAUAUUUAAAUAAUUAUCAUAUCAAGGUAUAGUAUUAUAACAUUAAAAUUAUAUCUGUUUAAUUUAUAUUAUCCAUAAAUCUAAUGAAUCAUCUAUUGGUUAAAUCUAAUUAUUGAUAGCCCAAUAAAAAAUGUUAGUAUGCCCAAAAUUUAAAUGAUAAGAUUAGAGAUUAAAUGUAAUAUGACUUUCUAGGAAUAUGUUCAUUAGGUCCAUUUUUAAAAAAAUCACACAUGAAUCAAAGUUGUGACUUCUGUUUUAAUAUAUAAGAUAGUAGUAAUCAGUAAAAGGAUGCGGAGAAGAAAAAAUAUACGAAGAAUAAGAACUGAAACUGUCAGAGAGUGUGGUCCUCUAACCUAAAGGCCUAGGAUGCGAUCAAAUCUCGAUCUAGUCUUCCACAUCACUUUUAAGGUCACUAAUCAUGUUUCAGUUAUAUUAGUAAUAAGAUUAAAUCAUUCUUUAAUUUGUUCAACAAUAUCGUAUAUAACUGGCUAUUUAGAUAUGUGUGAACUGGAUUGCCCACAAAUGUUUGAGCUUAGAUAAUAUGGGUCGAGCGAGUUGGCUGAUAACCAGUGUACUGCUACGUGGUUCUCUGUUUACACAUGAGUCAUGACGAAACAGCGACAUCGGAAUAUGCUUACAAAAGAUGAAAAUAAUUAGGAUUUUGCUGAGAAAAAUAAUUUAUGAACAUCAACUAUUACUGACAAAUCUUCUGAACAUUAUUUGUGGAGUGAUUUGUAUAUGUGUCACGAUUAUAUUUAUUCUCAUUAAAAAAAGAUAACAUUGCUUAUGAAAAAUAUGACAUUGCAUUGAUUUAAUUGUGACAUGUAUAAUUUUCCUUAAACUAUGUAUAUAUAUAUGUAUGUAUCUUUUGGCAAUGUUUUCUAAGUAUAAUAAUGACUAAUUACUCUUAUAUCAUCACUAAAAUAAUUGUUCUAUAGAAUUAUUUAUUUUUAGCAAAAUUUUUGAAAUAUAUUAAUAACUAAUUACUCAUAUAUAUCACAAUUAAGUAAACUAUAUAUCACACAGAUAAAAAUGAACCAGUUAUAUUUACAAAUAUAUAUAGUUUUUAUAUCAACUUAUAUAUCAACUUAUAUAUACAUAUAUUAUCAAAGUGUACAUCGACAAAUGCAAAACUAAAGCAAACUAAUCAAAUAAAAAGUUUGUUAAUACUUAAGUGAUUAAAUUUUUAUUUGAAUUUAUUGAUUUGUUAUAGGUUGUUAACAUAUUGAUGUUUACCAGAUUAACAUCUUUUAACUAAAACACACAAAAAUAUAUAUUUUUUUUAUAAUUUCUAUAUUUAAAUAAAAACAUAUUUAAAAUUAAGGAAUAAAAGAUUAUUUAAAAAUAAAUAAUCAUUGAAACAAUAUAAUAUACAAGUUUAUAUAAAAUGUAAUUUAACUCUGUCGAACUUUAAAAACCAAGUGGAAUAGUUAAACCAAGUCAAAAUAAACAACUACAUUUGCGAUUUUCUUUUAUAGAGAGAUGAAGUCAAAAUAUUUAAGUAUAGAUGAAGUUAGGGUAGAAACUAGAAAAGGUAAAUAUUUACAUUUUUAUUGGUACCUAGCCAGCCGCUUAGGUCCAACUAAAAGAAUCCAAUAGCCGACAUGAAUAUGUGAUUAGUUUCUAUACGCAACGUAUUAUUAUUGAAAAUUAGGUUUAAUCAAAUCAAUUUACAUUAAAAUUUUGAAAAACCGGUGUAACAAAAAAAAAUGAAAACUGUCAUUGACAUAACAUCCGUAAUUGAACUAAAUAUGGAAUGCAGCAUCGAAGCUAAAUCAUAUCAAAAAAACUGUUGUUGUUAUUUAACAUGAUGUUGAUUUGGUAUAUGCAACACACGGUUCACACCAUCCCACAUAUACGGGAUAUUUAUAAAACUGUUUCACGAUAUUUCUACUAAAUUUAUUAUGUGGAAAAGUGCUAUUUAAUAAAUUUAUUUUAGAAGAAUGAUGUUUCUGACAUUUGCUGCUUAAUUCACAGCAGGAUAUACAUCUAACGUCCGUACAAAACCCACAAUAUCAAUGUGUCUUAGUCCUAUAUAUGUAUGCUUUGAUUUGAAUAAAAUGUUUGAAUUUCUUAAAUAAUUUACACAAAAAAACUUUCUUUUGCAACUGCAAAAAAAACUUUCUUAUGAAUUUAAUGCUAAAAGUAUCUAAUUUCUGUUCAACUAAUCGCUAAUGUGAAUAGUUUAAAGUCUUAAAACCCACAACAAUUUAGAUAGAUCUAAAACUUUUUCAUCUAAUUAAAAAUAUUAUUUAUACUUGGGAAUUUGCGGAUCAUGAGUUGCUUAACAAAUAAAAAAACACAUUAUGGAUUUUAAAUCUGGUUAUUACUAUUUAAAUUCACAUAGCAAAGUGGAGUCAGUUUUGUAAGCGCGGAUGAGUCGAAAAAUA